UAACAUAGAACAGGUAGGAAAUAUAUAAUCAACCAUGACGUGCAUUCUGUUUUGAGGUAUGUAAAGAGGGAUAAAGGACUUUAGGCCUGGGGGAAGAUUUGAAAGUGUGCAGGAGGUCGUUCCAUAAUUGCGGUGCUCUAUAGGAAAAAGGAGGAUCGGGCUACUUUCUUUUUGUAUUGAGGUAGACUAAAUAAAGUGCUGGUACUGGAUCGGAGGUUAUAGGAGGUGUGAACGGCCAGGGAGAGCAUUCUGCUCAGGUAGGGUGGGAGCUUCCCAUAAAAGUUCUUAGGGAUUUUAAAUCUAAGAAUGUGCAUGUUGUUUAUGUACAAGAAACCCACUUUAGAAAAACAACUGCCCUGAAACUGACCAAUCAUAUUUACCAACAGGGUUUUAAUAGGAACAAUACUGAGUAAAUUUCAUGGGACAGCAAUCCUUAUUGACAAAUCAAUCCUAUUCUAACACAAAGAAACACUAGUAGACAAGGAAGGUCGUUAUAUUUGUAAGGGGAUCAUUUUGGGCUAGAGUUACACAUUUGCCAAUAUUUAUGCCCCCAAGACAAAGGCAGUUACUACAGCACGCAAUUAAAUGGCUGAUGUUGUUCACAGUGGGUUUUCUAAUCUUGGGAGGGGACUUUAACAUCAUGUGCCCCCACAUUGACACAUCAACGGGCACUUCGGGGAUUCCCGCACUGAUCUUUUGAGGAGUUAAGGGCCUACUACAUACUUACCGACUGCUGGAAGUCUUUUCAUCUUGCCACCAGAGAGUACACGCAUUACUCUAUCCCUCAUGAUAAGUACUCAAGACUUGACUACUUUUUUUGUACCAUACUGUUACCUCUCUCAGGAUACCAGAGUAAACAUAGGGGUGAUGACUUGGACUGAACAUGACCGUGUCCUCCCCUCUUUUCAAACUUUGGAUGACUAACUGGAGACUUAACAAGACAAUCCUCACUGACCCACUCAUCUUUGCCCUGCCCUGAAGAAAUAUAGGGAAGCUGACAUUCUCGCCCUCCUGGGACAGAUACAUGCACUAGACCUGAAGCACAAAUCUGAUCAAGACCUGUCCACAUUCAAAGAACUUGUGGAAUUGAAGAGCCACUCUUCUUCACCACCUCCAACGCUCUCUACAGCAUACCAAGGCAUUAUUUUAUGUUAACAGCAACAAAUACGGUAAACUUGCUUGGAUCCUGAACAAAAUAAGAACCAAAUCCUAUAUUGCCUGUUUGCAAGAUCUCCGCAGUAAGACACAACGGUUAUCUAACAUGAUAGCAGUAAAACACAAAAGACAGCAUACAAGGACUUGUGCAUGUGGUAUUGGAUGCCACAAAACGUGCAACGCAUAGACUCCACACUAAAUGAUGAAUGUUGGAGGUGUCACACCCGCCCAGGCACAUUUCUCCAUCUUUGGUGGGACUGCCCCAAGAUCAAGCCUUUUUGGUACUGAUUCGAGAGGUUCUGUGGAGGAUUUUUUUAGUUCCGCCUCACAUUUUAGUUGUAAAUGUCAUAACACUGUUAGGUUUUACUGCAAAAAAAUGCACAUAUUUGUAAUCAGCGAUGUCUCACGAGUACAACAGUACCCCCAUUACCAGGUUUUAUGGUGUUUUGGAAAGUUACAGGGUCAAAUAUAGAACGUUCCAUUUUCAAAUUGAAAUUUGCCAGAUUAGUAAUGUUACCUUUG